UACGAAGGGGGCGAGCGUUGUUCGGAUUUACUGGGCGUAAAGGGCGCGCAGGCGGUCUUGAAAGUCAGGCGUGAAAGCCUCGGGCUUAACCUGGGAAUUGCGCUUGAUACUCUGAGACUGGAGUACGGGAGAGGAGAGUGGAAUUCCCAGUGUAGAGGUGAAAUUCGUAGAUAUUGGGAAGAACACCAGUGGCGAAGGCGGCUCUCUGGACCGUAACUGACGCUGAGGCGCGAAAGCGUGGGGAGCAAACAGG
rnacentral:rRNA from 1 species